rnacentral:lncRNA from 1 species
AGGGGUGUUUGUCGAUCGAUGCUGAUGCAGUUGCUUCGGCCGCACGCUAUGUCUGUAUCAUGGCUAUGUAUUGCCUCAUCUCCUCCAUGCAUGUAGUCAACCAACUGAUGAUAUCAUUAAGUGGGUAGUACACACCAUCAAGCUUCAUCUGGAAGUCACCUUCAUUCUUUUCUUGGGCUCCACAAACUCCAUAAAGCAUCUCAUUGAUCUCAUCCUUGGUGUAGAUCUCGGGUACUAGCUUGGUUUGUGUGAAUGACCUAGCAUGUUCUGGAAGACAUAGGUAGUUGUGCUCAUCCAUUGAGGCUCUUUCCAGAA